UUGACGGGGCCCGCACAAGCGGUGGAGCAUGUGGUUAAUUCGAAGCAACGCGAAGAACCUUACCAGGCCUUGACAUGCAGAGAACUUUCCAGAGAUGGAUUGGUGCCUUCGGGAACUCUGACACAGGUGCUGCAUGGCUGUCGCCAGCUCGUGUCGUGAGAUGUUGGGUUAAGUCCCGUAACGAGCGCAACCCUUGUCCUUAGUUACCAGCACGUUAUGGUGGGCACUCUAAGGAGACUGCCGGUGACAAACCGGAGGAAGGUGGGGAUGACGUCAAGUCAUCAUGGCCCUUACGGCCUGGGCUACACACGUGCUACAAUGGUCGGUACAAAGGGUUGCCAAGCCGCGAGGUGGAGCUAAUCCCAUAAAACCGAUCGUAGUCCGGAUCGCAGUCUGCAACUCGACUGCGUGAAGUCGGAAUCGCUAGUAAUCGUGAAUCAGAAUGUCACGGUGAAUACGUUCCCGGGCCUU
rnacentral:rRNA from 1 species